UACGUAGGGUGCGAGCGUUAAUCGGAAUUACUGGGCGUAAAGCGUGCGCAGGCGGUUUUGUAAGCCAGAUGUGAAAUCCCCGGGCUUAACCUGGGAAUGGCAUUUGGGACUGCAAGGCUCGAGUGCGGCAGAGGAGACUGGAAUUCCUGGUGUAGCAGUGAAAUGCGUAGAUAUCAGGAGGAAUACCGAUGGCGAAGGCAGGUCUCUGGGCUGACACUGACGCUGAGGAGCGAAAGCGUGGGGAGCGAACAGG
rnacentral:rRNA from 1 species